rnacentral:rRNA from 1 species
UAGGGAAUCUUCCGCAAUGGACGCAAGUCUGACGGAGCAACGCCGCGUGAGUGAAGAAGGAGUUCGGUUCGUAAAACUCUGUUGUUAGAGAAGAACAGCGCAUAGAGUAACUGUUAUGCGUGUGACGGUAUCUAACCAGAAAGCCACGGCUAACUACGUGCCAGCAGCCGCGGUAAUACGUAGGUGGCAAGCGUUGUCCGGAUUUAUUGGGCGUAAAGCGAGCGCAGGCGGUCAAUUAAGUCUGAUGUGAAAGCCCCCGGCUCAACCGGGGAGGGUCAUUGGAAACUGGUUGACUUGAGUGCAGAAGAGGGGAGUGGAAUUCCAUGUGUAGCGGUGAAAUGCGUAGAUAUCGGGAAGAACACCAAUGGCGAAGGCAGUUCUCUGGGCUGUUACUGACGCUGAGAAGCGAAAGCGUGGGGAGCGAACAGG